GACGAACCGUGCGAACGUUAUUCGGAAUCACGGGGCUUAAAGCGCGUGUAGGCGGCCCGGCACGUCCGUCGCUGAAAUCCCCCGGCUCAACCGGGGAAGUGGCGUGGAUACGACCGGGCUGGAGGGGGGUAGGGGGAGCCGGAACUUCCGGUGGAGCGGUGAAAUGCGUUGAGAUCGGAAGGAACGCCCGUGGCGAAAGCGGGCUCCUGGACCCCACCUGACGCUGAGACGCGAAAGCCAGGGGAGCGAACGGG
rnacentral:rRNA from 1 species